GACGAACGCUGGCGGCGUGCUUAACACAUGCAAGUCGAACGGAAAGGCCCUGCUCUUGUGGGUUGCUCGAUUGGCGAAGGGGGGAGUAACACGUGAGUAACCUGCCCUUGACUUUGUGGUAACUUCAGGAAACUGGGGCUAUUACCCGAUAGAAUCUCUUGCUGCAUGGGGGGGGUUGGAGAGAUUCGGUGUUUGUGGAUGGACUCGAGGCUUAUGAGCUGGUUGGUCGGGUAGUUGCUGCCCAAGGAUGUGACGGGUAGCCGGCCUGAGAGGGUGGACGGCCACAUUGCGCCUAAGGUACGGCCCAGAAUCCAACGGGCGGCAGCGGUCGAGAAUCUUGCGCAACGGGCGCAAGCCUGAUGCAGAGGCCCCGCGUGCGGAAUACCCGCCUUCGAGUUGUAAACCGCUUUCGAAUGUGCCGAAGCGUGAGUGACGGUAAUGGGUAAAGAAGCACCGGCUAACUACGUG
rnacentral:rRNA from 1 species